ACUUCUGAUAUUUAGCUUCUAGAGCUACCUUCUCCAGUUUUCCUUGAAAUUUUAUGAUUCAAUUCAUCAGGUUGGUUCUGCAAUGCAAAAAGAAAUAGGAAUAAGAUAAUAUAUUCACCACCAAAUAUCUUUAAAAACUAUAUCCAGAACCUGCAAGGCAUACAACGAUUAGUGCAGGAUACUAUUAAAAACAACAGUCACUGACAGUUAUGGAUAGGCAACAGGAAACAUAAAUAAAUAUUGAUCCAAGGUUGUAGAACCCUGUUACUUGGCCAACAUAUCCUUAGAAUCAUUCGCACCAGUCCAAAUUCGUUUUUGAAUGAAAAUAUAUAGAAAUAGCUUUUAUUAUCUGAAAAGCUUAAUAUAAAUAUCAAUGGUAAGGAAACACCACAACGCUAGAUUUAAGUUGCAGACAGAAGAAGGGAGAUCAAAGAGGAGGCUGAUUCAUACUAAGCUUAUUACAAAACCAAAAGCAAGAAGCUUACAUAACA